AACGCUGGCGGCGCGCCUAAUACAUGCAAGUCGAACGGAAACCCCUUAAAAGGUUUUAGUGGCGAACGGGUGAGUAACACGUAAGUAACCUGCCUUUAAGACGAGGAUAACAAUUGGAAACGGUUGCUAAGACUGGAUAGGAAACAAAAAGGCAUCUUUUUGUUUUUAAAAGACCUUCUUAUGAAGGUAUGCUUAAAGAGGGGCUUGCGCCACAUUAGUUAGUUGGUAGGGUAAAAGCCUACCAAGACGAUGAUGUGUAGCUGGACUGAGAGGUUGAACAGCCACAUUGGGACUGAAGACAGGCCCAAACUCCUACGGGAGGCAGCAGUAGGGAAUUUUCGGCAAUGGAGGAAACUCUGACCGAGCAACGCCGCGUGAACGAUGAAGUAUUUCGGUAUGUAAAGUUCUUUUAUUGAAGAAGAAAAAGUAGUGGAAAAACUAUAUUGACGUUAUUCAAUGAAUAAGCCCCGGCUAACUAUGUGCCAGCAGCCGCGGUAAGACAUAGGGGGCGAGCGUUAUCCGGAAUUAUUGGGCGUAAAGGGUGCGUAGGCUGUUAGAUAAGUCUAUAAUUUAAUUUCAGUGCUUAACGCUGUCUUGUUAUAGAAACUGUCUUGACUAGAGUGAGAUAGAGGCAAGCGGAAUUCCAUGUGUAGCGGUAAAAUGUGUAAAUAUAUGGAGGAACACCAGAAGCGUAGGCGGCUUGCUGGGUCUUUACUGACGCUGAGGCACGAAAGCGUGGGUAGCAAACAGGAUUAGAUACCCUGGUAGUCCACGCCGUAAACGAUGAGUACUAAGUGUCGGGGUAAAACUCGGUACUGAAGUUAACACAUUAAGUACUCCGCCUGAGUAGUACGUACGCAAGUAUGAAACUUAAAGGAAUUGACGGGACUCCGCACAAGCGGUGGAUCAUGUUGUUUAAUUCGAAGAUACACGAAAAAUCUUACCAGGUCUUGACAUACUCUGCAAAGCUAUAGAAAUAUAGUGGAGGUUAUCAGGGAUACAGGUGGUGCAUGGUUGUCGUCAGUUCGUGUCGUGAGAUGUUAGGUUAAGUCCUAAAACGAGCGCAACCCUUGUCGUUAAUUGCCAGCACGUAAUGGUGGGGACUUUAGCGAGACUGCCAAUUAAACAUUGGAGGAAGGUGAGGAUUACGUCAAAUCAUCAUGCCCCUUAUGAUCUGGGCUACAAACGUGAUACAAUGGCUGUGACAAAGAGUAGCUGAAACGCGAGUUUUUAGCCAAUCUCAAAAAAGCAGUCUCAGUUCGGAUUGAAGUCUGUAACUCGACUUCAUGAAGUUGGAAUCGCUAGUAAUCGCGAAUCAGCAUGUCGCGGUGAAUACGUUCUCGGGGUUUGUACACACCGCCCGUCAAACCACGAAAGUUAGCAAUACCCGAAAACAGUAGCUUAACU
rnacentral:rRNA from 1 species